rnacentral:rRNA from 1 species
AUUGAACGCUGGCGGCGGGCCUAACACAUGCAAGUCGAAUGGUAACAGGAAACAGCUUGCUGUUUCGCUGACGAGUGGCGGACGGGUGAGUAAUGUCUGGGAAACUGCCUGAUGGAGGGGGAUAACUACUGGAAACGGUAGCUAAUACCGCAUAACGUCGCAAGACCAAAGAGGGGGACCUUCGGGCCUCUUGCCAUCAGAUGUGCCCAGAUGGGAUUAGCUAGUAGGUGGGGUAACGGCUCACCUAGGCGACGAUCCCUAGCUGGUCUGAGAGGAUGACCAGCCACACUGGAACUGAGACACGGUCCAGACUCCUACGGGAGGCAGCAGUGGGGAAUAUUGCACAAUGGGCGCAAGCCUGAUGCAGCCAUGCCGCGUGUAUGAAGAAGGCCUUCGGGUUGUAAAGUACUUUCAGCGGGGAGGAAGGGAGUAAAGUUAAUACCUUUGCUCAUUGACGUUACCCGCAGAAGAAGCACCGGCUAACUCCGUG